CUCAAAAAAUAAUAAUAAGAGUAAAUAAAAAAGUUAUCUGAGACAAAUAUGUCAAAUUGUCAUUUUAUGAUUAUGGGUGGUGUUAGAAAAAAACUGCCCCCAAAAGUUUCUUGGUACUGCCGACACUCCUCCUCAAACCUCACCAAGCUGCCCACCCCUCCCUGUAAUGCUCUGCAACUCUUCUCCUUCCCACAAGCCGCUUUACAUUUCUAAGCCCUUAUCUAGGUGCCUUGGUGAAGCCCGCAGACUUCACUUUUUGCCGCGUCCUGGGAAGCAUAAACAAACUAACUACACCCUCCUGUAAUAAACGUCACAAGGUGAUAUGUGGCAAAAUUAACCAGCAAACAACCCGGGGAUGUGGCCACACCAAAGAACUCCGUCAAACUCCCCUCCCCAAUAGAAACCCCUCAUUCUGUAAGUUUGGGGCUGCCUCCUUUCUGACUGUUAAGCGGGCAGCCGGCAGGUUAAUAAACUUCCUCGCCUAACCUCGGGUCUCUCUCUUGUACUUUGUGUUGGCUAACCUUACAGGUGGUAUGAGUUGUAUUAUUCCCCGUACCAUUCACUCUCUUUUUUUCUUAUUUAUUUAUUUAUUUUUUUUCGGAAUUCCAAAGAAGAUAGAAACGGGGUUAGGAAGGGAAUUUUGGCCCUCCUGGUUCUUGUCAUCCUUCUCCACUUCAAGAUGAAAUUCCUGAAAUUCCUACAGUUAUCUUGUUAUCAACCUAAGGAUGAAUGUAACACCUACAGGAGGGUGGAACUGAGUAUUCUCCCCUGGAGCCUGAGAUAUCUCUGGACUUCCUAGCAUAUCAUAUAAUAAUUUCUUAUUGUGUUAUAUCAUACUAAGUUGGGGGCUCUGUUACCUGCAUCAGAAAUCUUCCUCAUAGCCAUAGGUUGGUUCAUUUAA